CCGCGUGGAGGACGAAGCCCUUACAGGGCGUAAACUCCUGUUCUGAGGGACGAAAUUUUUGACGGUACCUCAGGAGAAAGCACCGGCUAAUCCUGUGCCAGCAGCCGCGGUAAGACAGGAGGUGCAAGCGUUACUCGGAAUGACUGGGCGUAAAGCGUCUGUAGGCGCCCCAUUAGGUCUGGCAUGAAAUCGCAGAGCUUAACUCUGCGUCCGUGUUGGAAACCGGCGGGGUUGAGGUACUCAGAGGCAUCUGGAAUGUCGUGUGUAGGGGUAAAAUCCGUUGAUACACGAUGGAACGCCAAAAGCGAAGGCAGGAUGCUGGGAGUGUCCUGACGCUCAGAGACGAAAGCGUGGGGAGCAAACCGGAUUAGAUACCCGGGUAGUCCACGCCCUAAACGAUGCGUGCUCGGUGUUGGGGACUUCAAUCGUCCUCAGUGCCCUAAGCUUACGCGGUAAGCACGCCGCCUGGGAAGUACGGCCGCAAGGCUAAAACCCAAAGGAAUAGACGGGGACCCACACAAGCGGUGGAGCAUGGGGUUUAAUUCGAUGACAAGCGAAGAACCUUACCCAGGCUUGACAUCUCGGGAACCCCGCAGAAAUGCGGGGGUGCCGCAAGGAA
rnacentral:rRNA from 1 species